rnacentral:rRNA from 1 species
GUGGGGAAUAUUGCACAAUGGGCGCAAGCCUGAUGCAGCGACGCCGCGUGGGGGAUGACGGCCUUCGGGUUGUAAACCCCUUUCGCCCGGGACGAAGCGUAAGUGACGGUACCGGGAGAAGAAGCACCGGCCAACUACGUGCCAGCAGCCGCGGUAAUACGUAGGGUGCAAGCGUUGUCCGGAAUUAUUGGGCGUAAAGAGCUCGUAGGCGGUGUGUCACGUCUGCCGUGAAAACCUGCGGCUUAACCGUGGGCGUGCGGUGGAUACGGGCAUCACUUGAGUUCGGUAGGGGAGACUGGAAUUCCUGGUGUAGCGGUGGAAUGCGCAGAUAUCAGGAGGAACACCGGUGGCGAAGGCGGGUCUCUGGGCCGAUACUGACGCUGAGGAGCGAAAGCGUGGGGAGCGAACAGG